CAGCAGCCGCGGGAAUACGUAGGGUGCAAGCGUUAAUCGGAUUUACUGGGCGUAAAGCGUGCGUAGGCGGCUUUUUAAGUCGGAUGUGAAAUCCCUGAGCUUAACUUAGGAAUUGCAUUCGAUACUGGGAAGCUAGAGUAUGGGAGAGGAUGGUAGAAUUCCAGGUGUAGCGGUGAAAUGCGUAGAGAUCUGGAGGAAUACCGAUGGCGAAGGCAGCCAUCUGGCCUAAUACUGACGCUGAGGUACGAAAGCAUGGGGAGCAAACAGGAUUAGAUACCCCAGUAGUCCCUGUCUCUUAUAC
rnacentral:rRNA from 1 species